CAUUUAGAAGCACAGAGGUGAAGGGGUGCUUGAGAGUCACUGGAGAUGGCUCAUUCAAGCUGCUGAUUUGUAAAGUUUGGUUUGUGUUGCUCAAACCUGCUCAUGCCAAAUCCUCUCUUGCUUUGUUUCAGAGUUAUCCCAGUGUGGCUACUCCUGGACUUUUACCAUGGCCAUUUCUUCUGAGGUUGAGCUGAAGAUGUUCACAGAUGAGACAGCCUUUUCCAGGGCACAGAGCUGGACGAGGUGACCUCCUGAGGACUUUUCCAACCCUUAUUUUUCCAUCACUGUGUGACAUUUGCUGCUAGUGUUGAAAUGGGAAAAGUGGGAUCUCUUUGAGGGACUGACUGGGACAGAGGCAGCAUCAACUGAUACUACAUCAUGAAGUAAAACACUGCUUUGAAGACUUGGGACAAAAAUGGAAUGAACUCAUGAAUUUGUCCUGGAUGAUAAAUCUUCCUUCAAAAGAAGGCAGCCUUAUGUUUAGUACAAAAGACUGUUUAUUUCUUCUAUGGAAAAAAAAAAAAAAAAGUAGUGUAAUUGGAUAGGAUUAACUUUCCAGGGGCCCUGGACAGAAGCUAAAGUACAGGCUGCCUCCUUCUUGUGCUCACAUUGGAUAAUUUGAAUAGUCUUAAGACCUCUCUGGCUUCCAACAACAUUGGGUUGUGAGCUGCUCCCAAUGUGCCUUGCACCUAAAGACAGUAUUAAGGACCCCAGAAUAAGAAAUUAAAAUUGUGUAAGUGUUUGGCUAGUAAACACUUGAUUCAGCUGGAACCUGGUCCAGUUAUAGAGAA